rnacentral:lncRNA from 1 species
AUUGCUUUCACAUUUCAGUUCACACAUAUUAUCAUAUCAGACCUCUUGGGUUGAUGACACCGAGGAUGGGUUAGGGGGGCAGAGGGGGGCUUAACGAUGUGAAGACAGAGGAGAGGAACUCUGACUGCUGAUUAGCUCGCCGAGACAACAGGGUGAUAAUGCGGGUGCUCAGAUUAGGACAACUCGACUCGUUUUAAAGAUAAAAUAAAACGAUCAGGAGCAUGAAAGGGGAUAAGCACCUCUGCUCAAGAGCUACAAACUCUUUUCCGUGCUAUCGUGACAAAAAUGAUCUAUCAAUCAAAUUUCAAGUCAUUUUUUAGGGGCAUGUUGCCUUCGCUGAUAGGACAGCCAAAGUGAGACAGAAAAUGUGUGGAGAAGAGAGCAGGGGGAAGAAAUGCGCCAAAUUUGCAUAAGAAAUCUGCAAAAGUUUGACAUUAAAAGCAGGUCUAGACCACAUUUUUGUAACCAAGUGACCUGGCAUUAAUGCACCUAGAACCUAGAGAGGAGUCAUUUUCUUGCAGGAGGCAGAAACCUCGAACAAGACCAGAAUCAUUGGUGGACAUCUACUGUGGCUGCCUUGACAGUUUAGGCUGAGAAAGUGGGAAGGACAGUGGCAGACAGGGACAGAUAUCAGAUGAGACAUGAGAACAGAAAGGUAGACAGUAAGGUAGACAGACUUAAAGAGAGGAAGACAGAGGACAGACAGAAGGUUUUAUGGAUUGACACCAACCUGCUAAUGGGACUGGAGAUGGACAUUGGCUAUAAUCCCAUGUAUAUGUUCACUAAUGCAUAUGUCCUAUUAAAAAAAAAAUCCUUAAUCCUAAAGCAUGAUUGACUUACUGACAGAAAGAUAAGCAGGGAGACAGACGUACAGACAGGAAGGACAGACUUAUAGGCAAGAAGACAUAAAGAAAACCAGACAGAGAAAGACCUCGCAAAAAAAGAUGGACAGACAGGCAGGAGACAGACUUGCUAACAGAAAGACGGUUAUACAGAGAGGAAGACAGACUGACUCGGAAAGGUAACGAAAAACAGGCUGAAAGACGACAGGCAGACAUUUAGACAGACACAGAGGAGGAUGGACAAACAGAAGAAAAGACAGAAGAGAGGUACAAAAUAACUGACAGACCACAUAGGGACAGCUAGACAGAAAGACAGACAUGAGGACAGAAUCAAAAACACAAAGACACAAAGAUUCAUAAACAUCAACACGAAAGGACAAAAAAGACAGGAGUAAGGAUGCAAAGACACAGAAACAGACCCACAGAUACAAAGAUUUAGGGACAGACAUAAAGUCAUGCAUUAAGAUACAAAGACAGACGCAAUGACGCAAAGACACAUGGACAUAUGCAGGAAACAAACUCAGACACAAAAAACAUACGCAAUGUAUAAAGACACAAAGAUGCAAAUGCACAAAAGGAGACAAAAAUACACAAAGAGGGACUCAAAGACUGAGAGACAGGAGGACAGCAGACUGACAGACAGAAAUGGAGACAGAAAGACAGAGACACAGAAAGACUUAAAUACAGGAGACAUUCUGACAGACAGUUGAACAGACAGGUAUCAGAAGUCCAAAGGCUUAGAGACGGAGGACAGACGGAUGUGCAGACGGGUGCAGAGAAAGAGAUUUACAGAAUAUACAGAUAGGAGGAAAUGCAGAUGGAAAUGUAGAUAGACGUACAGCAACAGAAAUAACAAACAAGUAAUAAUACCAAUGACAAUGGAAGCAGUAUGACUGAUAAUAAAAGUAUGACGGAUAAUCUCCUAAUAAGAAAAUUAAAAGAAAUACGAAUUCCUCAGGACUCAUGCUAGCACCCUUGUUAGCAUCCCUGCAGCGGAGGACAGGGUGAAAGUAUACGGCCUUUCCCUUUAUGGAUAUGAGACAAAAGGGAGGCUGUGAUGGUGGAGGCACAGACAGGGCGAGCGGGCGGUGGAGGGGGAGCCUAAUGGCCGUGAUUAAUGACAAUGGGCCAGAGGAGAGCUGGGACACAGGCGCUACAUAUAUCAUCCUUUCUCAUCAGUGUGUGCACCUCUGCGGCCCUCUUCUCUCUGCAAAACCAGCACACUACAGUAAAAGACAAAAAAAAAAAAAAAAAAUCAUCUGCCUCCCUACCACCAAGAAGCUGCUCGCUUGGUUCUUUACGGGCCUUGUGUUUGAUGGCCAAGCAGGGAAAUGACAUGUAGAAUAAGAUAUAAUGAGUAAAGGGGGAUGGCUGUGUGUGUGAUCGCUCAUGUUUUUCAUGAUCUGAAUACUUCCUGCGCUUAAGUCACAUUUCCAAGGUCUAAUCUUCCAUAUGGAGAGAGAUGAGUUAUUGGCUAUUUAUGAAUAGAAGUGAUGAUGAAUGGGGCUGCAUUUAUCUGCAUAAGUAACUCCAAGGGCUGGCACCGAGGUUCAGGCAGGCUAUAAUAAACAGAGUUUGCACUCAGGGGCAGCUCUUUAUUUAUGAGGCUCUGAGAACAGACAUUAUGUGGCCAUCAUCAGCUCCUCCUGUUCCCUGGAGGAGAGGACGGGAGUAGCUCCAAUACAUGCAGUAGUUUGAGAGUUUAAAGUACUCUGACCAGGCAGUAAUCAAGGCUACACAGGGUUUAGUUAUGACCAAUUAAUGAACUAUCCUCAUGGGAAUUUUAACACUCUCUGGGAAUUGCGGUUUUAAUUAGGAGGCACCUCUGCUAAAGCUUUCGACGUACAAAAACAUGGCAAAUUAAUCCCCAAUUAACACUACAGGCAGAUUUACUCUUUAUGAAACUGCUUUCUGCAUAAAGGGAUGAAAAUAUCACAUAUGUAAAAAGGUUUAGUGUCUGUAUUCAAAAUGGAAACACCACAUCCAUAUCCUCAACACCCUCCUGCUGGGCCAAUUUAGUGGCCAUCCCCUGAGCUCUGCUGCUUAGACCAAGCGGUUUU